AACGAACGCUGGCGGCAUGCCUAACACAUGCAAGUCGAACGAAGGCUUCGGCCUUAGUGGCGCACGGGUGAGUAACGCGUGGGAAACUGCCUAUUGGUGGGGAAUAACGACGGGAAACUGUCGCUAAUACCGCAUAAGCCCUUCGGGGGAAAGAUUUAUCGCCGAUAGAUGUGCCCGCGUCCGAUUAGCUAGUUGGUGAGGUAAUGGCUCACCAAGGCGACGAUCGGCAGCUGGUCUGAGAGGAGUGAUCAGCCACACUGGGACUGAGACACGGCCCAGACUCCUACGGGAGGCAGCAGUGGGGAAUAUUGGACAAUGGGCGAAAGCCUGAUCCAGCAAUGCCGCGUGAGUGAUGAAGGCCUUAGGGUUGUAAAGCUCCUUCGGGUGGGACGAUGAUGACGGUACCACCAGAAGAAGCCCCGGCUAACUUCGUGCCAGCCGCCGCAGUAA
rnacentral:rRNA from 1 species